rnacentral:rRNA from 1 species
UGAGAUGUUGGGUUAAGUCCCGCAACGAGCGCAACCCUUUUCCUUACUUGCCAGCAUUUCGGAUGGGAACUUUAAGGAUACUGCCAGUGACAAACUGGAGGAAGGCGGGGACGACGUCAAGUCAUCAUGGCCCUUACGGCCAGGGCUACACACGUGCUACAAUGGUCGGUACAAAGGGUUGCUACACAGCGAUGUGAUGCUAAUCUCAAAAAGCCGAUCGUAGUCCGGAUUGGAGUCUGAACUCGACUCCAUGAAGUCGGAAUCGCUAGUAAUCGCGGAUCAGAAUGCCGCGGUGAAUACGUUCCCGGGCCUUGUACACACCGCCCGUCACACCAUGGGAGUUUGUUGCACCAGAAGUAGCUAGCCUAACUGCAAAGAGGGCGGU